rnacentral:rRNA from 1 species
GUGUCAGCCGCCGCGGUAAUACGUAGGUGGCAAGCGUUAUCCGGAAUUAUUGGGCGUAAAGCGCGCGUAGGCGGUUUUUUAAGUCUGAUGUGAAAGCCCACGGCUCAACCGUGGAGGGUCAUUGGAAACUGGAAAACUUGAGUGCAGAAGAGGAAAGUGGAAUACCAUGUGUAGCGGUGAAAUGCGCAGAGAUAUGGAGGAACACCAGUGGCGAAGGCGACUUUCUGGUCUGUAACUGACGCUGAUGUGCGAAAGCGUGGGGAUCAAACAGGAUUAGAUACCCGCGUAGUCC